rnacentral:misc_RNA from 1 species
GCAAACUUGGUCAUUUAGAGGAAGUAAAAGUCGUAACAAGGUUUCCGUAGGUGAACCUGCGGAAGGAUCAUUACCAAUGAGCGGUUGGCCUCACGGCCUUCCGUACUACCUGCUUGGUCCGGCCUAACAGCCGGGCUGACUGGUUAACCCUUUGUGAACCAAAAAAACCUUUUCGCUUCGGUAGCUGGGGGGCCCCUUACCGGGUUCUCCGUCAGCCUGCCGCUAGCACCCUUCAAAAAACUUGUUGUCAAAACAUUGUCUGAUAACCAAAAUUUUCGAAUGAAAAUCAAAACUUUCAACAACGGAUCUCUUGGUUCCCGCAUCGAUGAAGAACGCAGC